CGUUGCACAAAACUUUAUGCCUCAACAUGUACAUGUAUACGUUGGCACAAGUAAAUACCCUGCCAUCCAGAAAAACGACCUCUCAACCGACUUCUCAUCAGCAUAGCAGUCGGUAACGUCGAACUUCAGGAGAAAUUUCAGUUGUUGUGUACGUAAACAAUGUUAUUGCGUAGGCGUUGAACACAAAAAUCUAAUGUCGGUGGUGUGCUAUUCAAAGGAAAGUACGUUGUAUAUGUACAGUUCGUGUGCGGUUAGCACAAGGAAGUUGACUCACAUUCCCUGCAGAGUUAACGACCAGCAAUCAUGGCCUACCUUCCUCGUGUUCUCUUUGGAUGAUCUACACGGGGACUUUUUGUUCACAUAACAUUGAACGUGCAUGCUGGUGAAUCAAAAGUUAGUGUUCAAAGUGUUCAACCACAACAGUAUCACGAGGAUACCUGGUUUCUACCCUUCUGCGUGUGUAGUGUAGGGAAUUUUCGUGGGCCUACGGGGUCGAGGAAGAAUUUCCACUGCAGUGUACAUGUAUGUGCCAUCUUUACACAAGGAAGUUUAGCUUAUGAGACAGGCCGGCCUUAAUUGACAGUUCUGAUAAGUCUUCUCCGAUGGGCUGGACCUGUUCAAGAAACACUGGAAUGGCCCAAGUGAAAUGUUCAUGAUUUGUUGCAUGGGGAAGUGUUCACGUAUGGCAGUACCAUGACUGCGACCGUGUAUGAUUACUUAAUCCCUGUGCUUGCCCUUGUGGUUAAAGCUGCAAUCGCCAUCUUGUGCUGCAAGUAUUGCUGCUGCCCAUCUAGAACGACAGCUAAUGCCAGAAUCAAUCAGGCGAGCCCACGGGAAGAUAUCUUAGCUGCCACGGGAUCGUCAGAACCAGAACACACACAGAUACCAACGAUUUCUAGAAGAUACGGAUUAGACACACUCAACACCUAUCGACCGCCUCCUGUCUAUGACCCUCCACCAGAUUUCUCUGAAGUAAUUCCACCUUUUACAUCUCAAGACGAUCCACCACCUGCCUAUGAAGAUGUGAUUGUUAUCGAUAAGCAGCGAUAACCACCAAAACGUUGUAGAGAGUGGUCGAUAUUUGGGAAAACACAGGGAAAACACUGAAAAUGACGAACACGUUGUUUAAAGUUUGCUGACCGUUUUCUCCUUUGUUACUUUCGCACUUAGAAUGAGUCAUGUAUUUGUAGGAAGUUAAUUUGUAAGAAACAAAAAUACGUAUGAUUGAAGAAAGGAAAAGCAUACACAUAUGGUGUUUUUCGCGCGUGAUGUGAUUUGGAUGCCCUAUAGGCCUAGGAAGUCGGUGACGCUUUACAAAAGUUACCACAUUUUUUUAUUAAAUGUUUCCAUAGGUAUAUGGUUCCCAGAAUAACACCCUUUUGUAGACAAGACAAGAUCAAACACGUCUCUUCAAAGUAGAGUAAUAUCCUAAGUAGAUUUUUAAUGUAGAAAGUGUUGUCUCCAGUUUAUAAAUUCAGAAAUGCAAUCAAAUUGCACCUGUCAGCCAAUUAUACAGAACAUUGCAUGGAUAUGUUACUGGCAGGUACUGUGUUGUCCAGGAUUUUGUCGUAGUUUUGUUGCAUCAAUUUUGUCAAUGCUCUCCAUUGCCGUUUGUCAUAAAGAUUUACUCGUUGAUCCAGGAGAGUUGUGUGUUUUUCCCCACGCAUUUAAUGAAUAAUUCUAAAUUUGUCAGUUUAGGAAGAUGGAAGGGAUGGGAUAAAUUUUCAUAGGCUUUUUGGAGUUGACUCUGAUUAAUGUACUGUUAGGCAUGAGAUGUGUGUACAUGCAAUAUAAAAGGAAAGGAAGCCAGUCAAAGGUCACGGAAUUGUGCUCCAGCUUUGUUGUCGAAACUUGUUUAGUACCAUGAUAAACGAGUAAGAGGCAUCGCGGCGCCUGUGCCUGCAGUGUACUCCACCAGGACGCAGCCCCAAAGCUCUUUCACAAAGGCAAAUCAAGCGGGAAAAAAUAGCAAAAGGUCUGGUCACAGUUCAGCUCAGUGACUAAUGCGCUCGUUUAGUAUUGCAGACAAAUUCCAUCGUAUGCAAAGUUGGCAAAUGCAACGAACUGACCAGGAAGUAGGAAGUUUUCUUCACCAUGUUAACGUCUAAUGUACAUGUAUAUGUAUGAUGUUUUCCCUUGCUUAGAGAUAUUUGAUACAUCUAUCGCACUGGCCAUAUUGACAUUGGACGUGGGUGCAAGCGACAAUGUUGAUGAUUUAAUUUUUUGAAGUAGAACGUUGGUCAUCUGUAACAGUGUCAUGUUUGACUUUUCAACCGGAUCUAUUAUUGGAAUGUCUGCCUUCGGGAUAUUCUUCCUGGGCAUCUUAAUAAUCAUCUGCUGCCGCUGUUGGUCGUACUUUACAGCGAAAGAUACUGACAUAGGUAUCGUAGCUAACUCACGGGAAGAAACAUGCAGUUUAGCUACCACGGAUAUAACAGCACAGAGGCAGAUAUCAAGGAUUUCCACCAGGCUGGGACCAGACACACCCGAUCUCUACUGGCUGCCUGCUGAAUCUCAUCGGUAUCUACCGAGUUUUGUUGAUGACCAUCCGCCUGAUUUCUCGGAAACUGUUGCGCCUUUCCCAAUUCAAGAUGAUCCACCACCUUCAUAUGAGGAUGCGAUUUCUGCAAGUCAAUAGUGUCAAUGAAGUAUUCUUUGUCACAUCCACCUGUCGCAAAAUUUGAUAAAAGCCCAUUCAUGCUUUCUAUUCGUAAGUCCUCGUACGUUGUAUACGUGAUGCGCUUAUCUGUGCAUUGUUUUAACCGUGCAUAUUUUGUUGAAGGGCAAUCAUUCUUUUCGUAUGAUGGUUGCUGUGAAGCAUAUAUCGGCCUACAUGUAGAAUGAAGCUAACCCUAUAGUUUUCAAGAAAAUGAGGUUUCUGUUACAUCUUGUAUCUUAUGUCAUUUAUGUACUUUUUUAUUUGCAGUUACGCAGUAUAUAACUUCCAAUUUUUGCAGAGCCGGUAAAAGGAUUUUCGCUUACUGUAGUCCUCUUAAGGGAACUGGGCAUACUGUUCUCCUUACAUUUUGUUGUGGGAAAAAUAUCAAUAUUAUAGGCCGAGCUGUGUUACUGUUACGUGAAAGUGCCUUUCGAGUACGACGUUUACCCUACCAAUUGUAGAAAUAGGGAUGCUGGGUAUGAAAAAGCAUGUAUAAAAUGUGUAUUAAAUAAAGUUUAAAAAUUCAGGCCAUUCAAUUUUGGUAAGUUUAAUAGUGUUCAGCACGGUACUUGUCAUUUUUUUUUCCUUAAAAUGUUCAUGUUUACAGCAUUGUGAAAGUAUUAUGUUAUCGUUUGGGUAUCUGUCACCAGAUGGAGCAUUGAUCGAACAGGAUGGUUAUAAAUCUUUCUCAGAUGAACCAUACAUGUCAAUGGACGCUUUGCGAUUGACAGCCGUAGGUAACAUCUUGCGUCAUAAUACAUGCUAACGUCGACACCUACGAUGUCUUAUUUCCAUACAUUUUUUUCCUUCAGCAGUAGUGGGUGUUUUCCGAUUAGAAUUGAAUUUAGCAUGUUCUGAACCAGCUUGUGUAUAGCAGCACGGGAAUUGUUUUAUUCGCCAACGUGGUCGUCUACGACAGACAGCAUGCAGGUACUGGAAGUAAGGAAAGUAAUCUGUGCUCUGUCGUCUCAGAGAAGAAGAAACCACGUAGUUUUAAUAUUCGUCUUCGGGAAACUUAAAUUGGUACACUGUCAGAAAUUGUUGGCGUUGAGUUUCACAAUCAUUUGUUUCACGUGUAAAUAAAGUAUCCGUAUCUUCUACAGCUAGUCCUGAAAAGAUAAGCUAGACCUGUUGCACAAUGCUCUUACAAAACAGGGCAGAGAACCAGUCGAAAGCUUUCUAGGUCAAAGUACUGCAACCUUAUUUGUCCAAACAGAUAGUAAAUACAUCAGAGCAUUCGAACCUGCAGGUGACGAAAUAAAAACUGGCAACUCAUGAUCAAAGUUCAGUCAUCAUUUUUGUACAUGGUACAAGGCUGAAACAGAUUUGGAAGAAUUUCCAGUGCUUGCAAUUGUGUACGCACCGUUUGAGGUUGCCUGCAUGGCAAAGGAAUUUUCAGUGAACUUCGCAAAGUUAUGCUGUUCGACCAGGCCUGUCUUAGUUAUAUUUUUGUAAGUCUUCUUGAAUGAUUCGAUCUACUGGUGGCCGAGUUUUGAAGAAGAACCGAGCGUAAACACAACGGAAAUGAUUUAACCUUGUUGAGGUAGUGUUCAAGCACCGCAAUGUCGUCAUGACUACGGCCGUAUACGAGUAUUUCCUUCCAGUGUUUGGCUUUGUGACGAUCACCAUCAUUGUAAUGUGCUGCAGAUACUGCUGCUUCGCGUCAAGAGUGAAAGCAAACGCCAGAAACAUUCAGGAGGGCCCACAGGGAGACACAUGUAACUUGGCUGCCUCGGAAUGGGCAGCACAGGGCCACCUACCAACGAUUUCCAGGAGUGAAUCGGACUCACUGGAUACCUACCAGCCACCUGUUGAGUUGCCUGGGUAUCUACCACGUUCUGUGUAUGACCCUCCGCCGGAUUUCUCCGCAGUUGUAGCACCGUUUCCAGUUGAGGAUGACCCACCACCUGCCUAUGAGGAUGUGAUAGCCUCUAGUCAGUAGCACCAAUCUCAAACAACUUUGAGGUUUGGUGAAGACAUUGUGCCAAAUUCUGUACAGGAUAUGUGUGAUGUAAAUAUUCUUAUCCCGAAUUUGGUAUGAAAGUUACUUAUUACACGUGCUCUGACUCCCAAUUUAGAGCAGCCAAUCUUCACUUGUAAAAGGUGAUCACGGUGAAAAGUCACCGCCAGUAGCGUUCUGGAGUUCAGCAGAAUAAGCUGGCGAUAUUCACUGUAGCCUUUGUAAUGCCACGAGCAUACAGCUUUUAAUUGAUGACCGGUUGGUACAUUGAGAAAAAAA
rnacentral:lncRNA from 1 species